rnacentral:rRNA from 1 species
AGAGUUUGAUCCUGGCUCAGGAUGAACGCUGGCGGCGUGCCUAACACAUGCAAGUCGAGCGAUUCUCCUCGGAGAAGAGCGGCGGACGGGUGAGUAACGCGUGGGUAACCUGCCCUGUACACACGGAUAACAUACCGAAAGGUAUGCUAAUACGAGAUAAUAUGCUUUUAUCGCAUGGUAGAAGUAUCAAAGCUUUUGCGGUACAGGAUGGACCCGCGUCUGAUUAGCUAGUUGGUAAGGUAACGGCUUACCAAGGCGACGAUCAGUAGCCGACCUGAGAGGGUGAUCGGCCACAUUGGAACUGAGACACGGUCCAAACUCCUACGGGAGGCAGCAGUGGGGAAUAUUGCACAAUGGGCGAAAGCCUGAUGCAGCAACGCCGCGUGAGCGAUGAAGGCCUUCGGGUCGUAAAGCUCUGUCCUCAAGGAAGAUAAUGACGGUACUUGAGGAGGAAGCCCCGGCUAACUACGUGCCAGCAGCCGCGGUAAUACGUAGGGGGCUAGCGUUAUCCGGAAUUACUGGGCGUAAAGGGUGCGUAGGUGGUUUCUUAAGUCAGAGGUGAAAGGCUACGGCUCAACCGUAGUAAGCCUUUGAAACUGGGAAACUUGAGUGCAGGAGAGGAGAGUGGAAUUCCUAGUGUAGCGGUGAAAUGCGUAGAUAUUAGGAGGAACACCAGUUGCGAAGGCGGCUCUCUGGACUGUAACUGACACUGAGGCACGAAAGCGUGGGGAGCAAACAGGAUUAGAUACCCUGGUAGUCCACGCCGUAAACGAUGAGUACUAGCUGUCGGAGGUUACCCCCUUCGGUGGCGCAGCUAACGCAUUAAGUACUCCGCCUGGGAAGUACGCUCGCAAGAGUGAAACUCAAAGGAAUUGACGGGGACCCGCACAAGUAGCGGAGCAUGUGGUUUAAUUCGAAGCAACGCGAAGAACCUUACCUAAGCUUGACAUCCUUUUGACCGAUGCCUAAUCGCAUCUUUCCCUUCGGGGACAGAAGUGACAGGUGGUGCAUGGUUGUCGUCAGCUCGUGUCGUGAGAUGUUGGGUUAAGUCCCGCAACGAGCGCAACCCUUAUCUUCAGUAGCCAGCAUUUUGGAUGGGCACUCUGGAGAGACUGCCAGGGAUAACCUGGAGGAAGGUGGGGAUGACGUCAAAUCAUCAUGCCCCUUAUGAGCAGGGCUACACACGUGCUACAAUGGCGUAAACAAAGGGAAGCGAGCCUGCGAGGGUAAGCAAAUCUCAAAAAUAACGUCUCAGUUCGGAUUGUAGUCUGCAACUCGACUACAUGAAGCUGGAAUCGCUAGUAAUCGCGAAUCAGCAUGUCGCGGUGAAUACGUUCCCGGGUCUUGUACACACCGCCCGUCACACCAUGGGAGUUGGUAACGCCCGAAGUCAGUGACCCAACCGUAAGGAGGGAGCUGCCGAAGGUGGGACCGAUAACUGGGGUGAAGUCGUAACAAGGUAGCCGUAUCGGAAGGUGCGGCUG